rnacentral:rRNA from 1 species
UACGGAGGGGACUAGCGUUGUUCGGAAUUACUGGGCGUAAAGCGCACGUAGGCGGAUUUGUAAGUCAGGGGUGAAAUCCCGGGGCUCAACCUCGGAACUGCCUUUGAUACUGCAAAUCUCGAGUCCGGAAGAGGUGAGUGGAAUUCCUAGUGUAGAGGUGAAAUUCGUAGAUAUUAGGAAGAACACCAGUGGCGAAGGCGGCUCACUGGCCCGGUACUGACGCUGAGGUGCGAAAGCGUGGGGAGCAAACAGG